rnacentral:lncRNA from 1 species
UUCUGUCUACUGACCCAUUUAUUCUGCAAGUGUUUAUUGGGUACCUGCUCUCUGCAGGCCCUGAGUCAGCUGCUGGGAAUGGAGAGGAACUGGACACAGUGCCUGCCCUCAAGGUUCUGCAUACAGUGGGAGAAAGGGAUCCUGGGUGCCAGCUCUGAGCUGCAGACAGCAAGGGCAUGACAGGAGAGAACUGGGGAGCAUCCCCAAGGAGUGGCCACUGGGCAGGACCUGAAGGUGUGACAGAGAAUAAGCAAACCACCAGCUUUCUCAGAAGAACUGAAAGACUUCCAGAGGUUCUGGAAGUCAGAUUUCU